AUUGAACGCUGGCGGCAUGCCUUACACAUGCAAGUCGAAUGGCAGCGGACCUUCGGGUGCCGGCGAGUGGCGAACGGGUGAGUAAUGCAUCGGAACGUACCUUUCAGUGGGGGAUAACGUAGCGAAAGUUACGCUAAUACCGCAUAUUCUGUGAGCAGGAAAGCAGGGGAUCGCAAGACCUUGCGCUGAUUGAGCGGCCGAUGUCAGAUUAGCUAGUUGGUGAGGUAAAGGCUCACCAAGGCGACGAUCUGUAGCGGGUCUGAGAGGAUGAUCCGCCACACUGGAACUGAGACACGGUCCAGACUCCUACGGGAGGCAGCAGUGGGGAAUUUUGGACAAUGGGGGCAACCCUGAUCCAGCCAUGCCGCGUGAGUGAAGAAGGCCUUCGGGUUGUAAAGCUCUUUCGGCCGGGAAGAAAUCGCACGGGCUAAUACCCUGUGUGGAUGACGGUACCGGAAUAAGAAGCACCGGCUAACUACGUGCCAGCCGCCGCAGUAACAC
rnacentral:rRNA from 1 species